GACGAACGCUGGCGGCGCGCUUAACACAUGCAAGUCGAACGGAAAGGCCUGCUUUCCCUUGUGGAUUGCGGGUACUCGAGUGGCGAACGGGUGAGUAACACGUGAGUGAUCUGCCCCCAACUUGGGUAUAAGCCUGGGAAACUGGGUCUAAUUCCCGAUAGGACUGCAGGGUGGUGCCUGUGGUGGAAAACGAUUUUCUAGUGGUUGGGGAUGAGCUCGCGGCCUAUCAGCUUGUUGGUGGGGUAAUGGCCUACCAAGGCGGCGACGGGUAGCCGGCCUGGGAGGGUGGACGGACACAUUGGGACUGAGAUACGGCCCAGACUCCUACGGGAGGCAGCAGUGGGGAAUAUUGCACGAUGGGCGGAAGCCUGAGGCAGCGAAGCCGCGUGGGGGAUGACGGCCUUCGGGUUGUAAACUCCUUUCGACCGCGAGGAAGCCACCUGGUUGGAAGGGUGGUGACGGUAGUGGUAGAAGAAGCACCGGCUAACUACGUG
rnacentral:rRNA from 1 species